UACGUAGGGUGCAAGCGUUAUCCGGAAUUAUUGGGCGUAAAGAGCUCGUAGGCGGUUUGUCGCGUCUGCUGUGAAAACUGGAGGCUCAACCUCCAGCCUGCAGUGGGUACGGGCAGACUAGAGUGCGGUAGGGGAGAUUGGAAUCCUGGUGUAGCGGUGGAAUGCGCAGAUAUCAGGAGGAACACCGAUGGCGAAGGCAGAUCUCUGGGCCGUAACUGACGCUGAGGAGCGAAAGCAUGGGGAGCGAACAGG
rnacentral:rRNA from 1 species